CUAUUUUGAUUUUUUGUCAUGUUUGGCAAACGUGCAAAUCGUGAUCUGUCGAAGAGGAAGGGAACAGUAUUUAUGUUCCUUGAGUUUAGUGAGCCCUAAGCAUUGGAGAAAAAGAUAAUUCUACAAGUCAGGAAAAAUGAACACCAAACUACAAAUGUUAUUGCUAACUGCUGUAUUCCUAGCUUGCUUAGUGGGCCGAGCUGAAUGUUUUUGGGAUUGCAAGCCAUUUUGUGUUGGACGCAAAAGAUUCUUUGGGAAGCUGUCCAGAGGAAAAAGUGAUAAACCACAUGAAACAGAAAACCGUCGAAUCGCUUUAGAGGACGCAGAUUUUGUACGCGUUCGUCCCCUGUAAUGUCGUGAAAGGAAAAUGAUGAGGAUAAGUUGAAGCAGGGAAGCUUAACAGUGCUGUCUCUGAGAAUCUAAUUUAACCUAGGCAGUGGAAAAAAAUAACAAUUGUAAAUACUGCAUUUAAUGUUAAAAAACCA